GACAGAGGGUGCAAACGUUGUUCGGAAUUACUGGGCGUAAAGCGCGUGUAGGCGGCCCUGUAAGUCGGGUGUGAAAUCCCACGGCUCAACCGUGGAAGUGCACUCGAAACUACAGGGCUAGAGUCCUGGAGAGGAAGGUGGAAUGCUUGGUGUAGAGGUGAAAUUCGUAGAUAUCAAGCGGAACACCGGUGGCGAAGGCGGCCUUCUGGACAGUGACUGACGCUGAGGAGCGAAAGCCAGGGGAGCAAACGGG
rnacentral:rRNA from 1 species